UUUUACGAUUGCUAUACGUUUAUAGAUAGAGAUAAGGAUCAUACGUUUAAUAAAUCGAUCCCUAUUAUAUUAAGGAUUAAAUUAGUCCUAAAAAAUAUUAAAUAAAACCGGUGGAUUUGUAGAAAGGCCUAUAGAACUGCCCAGUUAUAGCCUACUAUGUUAUUUGCAGAGCUAUUUUUAAAUAUCUUGUAUGGAUGAAUUCUGGCCUAUUAUUUAAUUGUAGACUCGCAUAUCAAAGGUAAAAUAUUUCAUACCUUAAUAGACUUACUCAACUCGUCCCUAAUUGAAGGAAAUUUCUGAGUCAAAUGCAAAUAUCAGGCUACUUUACCAAAUGAUGAAAAUAUGGAUAAUUUAGAAAAGCGUUUAAAAAGUUAUGAAGCUGAAUUAGAAACUUCAGGAAAAAAGAUAAGAGGCUUACUAGAGGAAAAAGAGGAUUUAGGUAAGGAGAUACAAGAUUUGGAGAAUCGUUUACGGAUAGUCAGAGAAGAACAUGAGAAAGAGGCUGAAGAAAAAAACUAUGAAAUUGAUCAAUUGAAAAAGUCGCUUCAAGAAAGUCAAAUUGAAUUCCAAGCUCUGAAACAAACACUUAGUGGUAUGGAGUCAUCCGCAUCUGAUAAAUUUACACGCGAAUUUGUAGAAGAUGCUCAAGAGAUUUCACAGCAAGUCCUACCGGAACAGGAGUGCCUAAUUGAAGAUACAUCAAAACCGCAAGCUAAAUGGGAUAGAUUGUCCGAAUUACUAGCAGAAAGUGUACAGAAUAUUAUCUCCGUUGAAGAUACGAUUAAUAAAGUCUUAAGUAGAGCUAGAAAAAAUGAAGAAGAUCAUUCUUUCCUCUUUGACGAAGGCUUAGAUCUCACUCAAAAAUUAAGCGAAAGUGUUUUCUCUGGUGGAGAAAUGGCUUCCGAUGUGGAACAAAUUGUUCAAGACUCAGGUUCACAUUUGACAAUGGCCAUUGGCCGCUUAGUUGCACUCUACAAUGAUUCUGAAUCUUCCUUGAUGCAACAAGUCAAAACUGCACGAAACUUCUCUCAACAAGUUGAAAGGUUAAAGGAAGCUUUAAACGAAACAGAACUCAGAGCUAAGGAAUUAGAGGAAGAGAGAAAUCAAUUGUCGAUAAGUCUUCUUGAAGCCAAUCAGUUAUCAAACGAUAAGGAUGAGAAACUUCUACAGAUAGAGGAGACUUUAAAGCUGAUAAAUGAAGAAAGAGAUCUGGCCGUCUCUGACUUAGAAAAGGUUAGUGGCCGUUUAGAGGAACUUCUUCGUGAAAGGGCAGAAUUUGAAGAAAAGAAACAGAUGUUUUAUUUACAACAAAAAGUCAUGGAAGAGAAUGCGACUGACGAGGAAAGAGGUCUACUAAAUGCCUUUAACCGUUUGGUGGAAGAGACACAAGAAAAAGAAGUUGAUUAUCAAAGGUCAAGGAAUGAGCUGGAAAAUCGUAUAAAAGAAUUAGAAAUAAUGGUUGACGAAAUGCAGGCCAACUUUGAUCAUAUUUUGAUAGAAAAAACGAAUGAAAUUGAUGACUUAAACAAACAACUAGAUGCUAAAGAUAAACAACUCCAUUCUAGUACCAAAUUUAUGAAAGAUCAAGCGGAUGAGAGAGAACAAGAGAGAGAAGAUUAUGAAGAAGAGAUAUCAAAGUUAGAAAAUAGCCUAAGAGAUCAUGAGAGAAGUAAUUCUAGCCAGGAUAGCUUACUCAAAGAAAUUAGAGAUUUGGAAGGUCAGAUAAAUGAGUAUAAAACUAAAGAUCUUGAAAACAAGGAAACAACGAAUCAAUUAAAAUUAGAAUUACAAAAAGCUAUAGAAAACUUACAGGAACAAAGAGAUAUGCAUCGUGUUUUAGAGGAAGAAUUAGACUCAGCGUCAAAGAAUGAACAUAUCCUAAAAGAUAAAAUAUGUUUACUACAAGAUGAGCUGGAAAGAGCUCAGCUGAAAACCGAGCCUAUUAAAAAUUCUUUUGAGGAAGAAAAUAAAUUGUCUCCUUCGCCGCAACAAGAACGAAUUUUAUCUGAAUUACAAAAUGAGCUCGAAACUGCAAAAAGAUCCGAGGAGAGUGCUCUAAAAAGGCUUAAAGAAUUAGAAGAUGAACUUAAAGUCGCUAGAAAUAAUGAAAAGAUAUUAUCUGCCGAUAAGGAUGCUUUGCAUCAUCAGUUAUUGUCAAACAUGAGUGCAAUGUCAGAACUAAAGUCACAAGUGGACGAUCUACGAGUUGGUUUUGUAAACAGAGAUUCUAUGACCGAGGAAAAUAGGAACCUAAAGGCUGACUUGUUAAAGGAAAGAGAAGAGUCAAUGAUAAAGCAAAACUAUUUAGAUCAAUUGGAAUCAAAAGUUAAAGAAUUAGAGUCCUCCCUUGGGGGAAAAGAGGAAAGAUUUCAAGAAAUUCUCAAAUUGAGUGAAAAAUCUGUUAUUGAUUUACAACAGAAUAAAAACCAAUUACUGGACAAAAUCGAAAGUCUUGAAACUGACAACGAAGAUUUAGAGAGGCAAAUGAGAUCAUUGAAAGAAUCGUCUACCUUACCCGAUUUAACUCAAAAAUUACUAGAUGAAAAAAAUCAAGAAAUUGAUGAACUUCGAGAAGAUAUAAAUAAUUUAAAUGAAACUAGAAAAGAGGCUGAAAAUCAACUAGUUCAGAAGAAGGAUAAGGAAAUAGAAGAUUUACGACUACAAAUUAAGGAAAUGCAAAAUAGUAUUGCAAAAGUUGAAACUUAUAAAAAAGAAUCAACAGAACUUAAAGAGAAACUAAUAGAGAUGGAAGAAUUACGCAUUUAUUUACAAGAAAAUGAAAAGGAAAGAACUGUUUUGAUUGAAAAAACAAAUCAAAUUGACAAACUUUUGUUAAGUUUACAAGAACUUAAGAAGGAAAACUUGAAAUUAAAGGAAAAGAUUUUCGAAAUUGAAGAACUGAAGCUGCUUAAUACAGAGACAAAGAAAGAAAAUUUGCUAUUAAAAGAAAACGUUGCUAAAUUAACUGAUAUGAAAAUUACUAUUAAAGAAUGUGAAGUAGAAAAUAACGAAUUAAAAAUGAGACUAACUGAAAUGAAGGAAGUCGAGGUAGAACUCCAAAACAGAGAGAUAAAAUUACAGGAAUUAAUGGAGAGAAUCGAUAAAAUUAAGGCUGAAAAAUCUCAAGAGUUGACCAAAGCCAAAGACGCUAUAAUUGAAAUUAAGAUUCAGUAUGAUAACACUAUUAAAAGGUCUUCAGAACUAGAAGAAGAGUUACAAUUUACUCAAAAUUGCUUAAAAGAAAAGGAAAUUACUUUAAAUAAUGUAAUGAAAGAAUUAGAAGCUACUCGACCGUCUAUUGUAGGCGCUGGUAGUGGAGACGCCUCAAAUAUGCAGGAAUUACAAUCACAAUUGAAGUUUCUUCAAAAUGACUUGAAUGGAAAAAGAACAAGAGUUGCAUCUUUAGAAGAAGAAUUAGACGAAGCUAGUAACACUAUAAGGGAUUUGAAAAAUCAACUAGGCUCUACAACGACCGCUUGCGAUAUCGAAUUUGAACUUGAGUCAAUAAAGAACGAUUUAAAAAAUAAAGAGGAGAAUAUCUGUAAGAUAGAGCAGGAUAAUCUGGAAGCGAAUAAUAUUAUUAAAGAAUUAACGGAAGAAUUAGAUUUAGCCAGAAUAUCAACCUUAAAUUUAAGCGAUGAAAUGCAAUCUCUAUUAGAAGUUGAACGUCAUAAGGUGUUGUUAUUGCAAAAAGAAAAUAGUACCCUAAAAGAAAAUCUAGUUGAUUUGAAAAAUGAAUUAGAAUAUGUAAAAUCUUCAAACUUAAAAGAUUCUGGCAUUGACGAAGACACUCAAACGCGUUUAUUAACUUUAGAGAAAGAAAGAGACGAAGCAAUAAUUAAAAUAAGAAAUUUAGAAGCGGAAUUGGAAGUUUUCAAAGACGAUUUAGAAUCACAAAAGUUUGAUAAAGAAAAUGCAUUAGAAGAAUUGAGCUUUACGAAAAACUCUGAAUUGGAAGAGCUUAAGCAAGAUUUAGAUGAAGCUAAAGCUGAGAUUUUAUUGCUAAAAGCUUCCCAAAAUUCAAAUCAUUCAGAACAUAUUCGAAUCGAUAAGCACGUCCGAGAACUUGACGGCAUAAAAUCUGUAUAUGAGCAAGAACUUAGUGAAGCUCGAUUUAAAGUAAAUCAAUUAGAAAAACUUGUUGAAGCAAACCGAGAAAAUGAGCAAACUCGGUCAGAUAUCAGUCGUUGUUUGUCGAAAGAGCUCGAUCAGAGUCUCUCUUUAGACGCUCAAUUGCAAGAUUAUCUUAGCAUCGAUAGCAGAGAUGCAGAUGAGAAUGAAAGUGUUGAGGACGACGAACUCGAUAGCAAAUUACAAAAGGUUUUAAAUAAGCUUAUGUCCCAUUCAGUUAAGGUUUUAACUUUGUCCGAAAUUGAGUUCAUAUCCAAACAAAACUCAGAUUCUGUUGUAAACGGAAUAAAGAAAUUAGAAAUGAAUGAAAAUGUCACCGAAAAUCACGUUGAUGGUCUUAUUUCGGCCGUUGAUUCUCUUAGGGAAACCCUAGAAGAUUUAAAAUCUGAUAAUCAACAAAACGAUUGGAGAAUGGAAAUUAUACGUAAAAUCUACGAAAUUAUUAUAGCGGAGAAGAGAAUUCUUCGAAAGGAAUUAUUGGCUUUUAGCCGCCCUACUCAAUUAAUCGAAUUAGAACGACGAUUAAAUAACACAAUAACCGACCAUAAUAAAGUAAUAAAUGACUUAAAAUCGACUGAUAGAAAAUCUUUAUUAGACGAAAUCGACGCAAUACAAUUAAAAUUAACUGAUUACGAAGAAAAAGAAAAGGACGAGAUGACCAGAGAAAUCUCUCAAUUAAGGCGGCAAUUGAAGUUGACCGAAUAUAAAGCUGACCAAGAAAAAGUUCAAACUGAAGACAUUCGAUUAACAUUGGCUGAAGAAAAAUCAAAAAAUAGAGAUAUAAGUGUUCAAUUCUUUGCCGCCCAAAGCGAAUUGACUGACCUAAAGUCGCAAUAUAACAACUGUAAGAACGAGUUAAUGAGAAUUAGAGAUACCUUGGAACUUGAAGAAGGAAAAGUAGUAACCGCAACAUCUAUCUUGGAACAAUUAUUAAAUUCUUUAGAAAGAGAAAGAAAUCAUGUAAGAGAAUUGGAAACAUUACUCCAAACAGAAAAAGAUAAUGUCGAUAAAUUUAGCCUGGAGUUGAACGAGGAGAAAGAGAACUCUAAACGGGAAACUGAACGUUUACUUGCCAAUUUUGAGUCUUUGCAGAAGGAAAUCGAGAAUGAAAAAAUGGAACGAAAAGAUACAGAGAAUAGAUUAUAUAAGGAAAAGAAUCAAGUAGAAUUAUUGAAGAGAGAUUUGGAAAAUGAAAAAGACCAAUUAAGAGCCCUUCAUAAUAGAUAUAGCUCUCAAUUAAACGAUUCUAAAAAGAAUAUAGAAGAUUUAAGAAGAGCUUUGGAAGAAUGUCAAGGCACUUUAAACAAAGAGAGAAGUUUGACAAUACAAUAUAAAGAAUCUUUAGCAGAGGAGAGAUCUACCAGAAGAAGGUUAUCAGACAGAGAAACAAUUGUUUCAGAAGAAUUGAAAACAUCUCUGGAAUUGCAAAAAGCAAAGGUUGAGAAGCUUGAAAGGGAAAAUAACAACCUUAGAGAUAGUCAAAGUCGUCAGCAAGAACUUAUUAGCAAGUUGAAGUUUACCCAAGAUGAACUUCGUAGGCGUCCACCGACGAUAGAAAUCGAAAAACUGCGACACAGAAUAAUUGAAUUAGAAGCCCAGUCGCCAGCUGCUUACAAAAAGCGCUUAAGUACGACUAAGGAACAAAUUAGAACGCUUUUAAAUAGGAGCGAGGUCUCGCCCGAUCCUAAUAUUAAGAAUAUGGCUCAAGAUCUUAUGGAUGUACUGCAAGAUUUGCAGAAGAUUGAAGCAGAUGUCCACGAUCUGGGAAGCAUAGAUGAUACAGUUGAUUCGUCUCUUAUUGAAGUUAAUGAAGCCACAGCAAGAUUGAUAAGAGAAUUAAAAGAGGAGGUAAAAGAUAAGGAUGAAGAAUUGCAUAGGUUUAAGAAAAGGUACCGUAGCCAAUUGACAGACACUGAAAGGUCGAAGUUAGAGAAUGAAAUAGUUAUGUUGAGACGAGAAUUACAUAUCGUAAAAAAACAGUUACAUCAUUGUGAACAUCAAAUGGAAAAGCAAAAGAAGAGUGACCCAGUAGUCUUUCGCCGGAAAAUACGUGAUGUUCAUUUUAAGUAUCUCAAAGCUGAGAGUUUAAGAAAAUCGUUGGUUUAUCAAAAAAAGUAUUUAUUAUUAAUGUUGGGUGGUUAUCAAGAAACUGAAGAAGAAACCCUACGCAUUUUGGCUACUAUGGGAGGGAGACCUGAUAAAAAAACUUUAGUUUCAAAGCAAAUUUCGCCUCGACACAGAUUUAAGAGUAUUGUUUGUGCUGUGUGUGCCAUUUGGCGGCUAAAAUUUUAUGUUCGUCAUUGGAAGAAGACAACAAGGAACGAGGGACAAGCUUUAAGUAGUGCCAAUAAUGGAUAUAUACCAGUUAGUAAUAGAUAUGAAGAUGGAGAAGUUUGUUCUACUUCCUCUUCAACACCAACUAUCUCGAGUUAUCAAACAGAUGAAGAAAUGCAUUCCUAUUUGAUAAGAUUGGAGAAGUUACAGAAGAAAUUACAACCCGUAUUAUAG
rnacentral:misc_RNA from 1 species